UACGUAGGGUGCAAGCGUUAAUCGGAAUUACUGGGCGUAAAGCGUGCGCAGGCGGUUUUGCAAGACCGAUGUGAAAUCCCCGGGCUCAACCUGGGAAUGGCAUUGGUGACUGCACGGCUAGAGUGUGUCAGAGGGGGGUAGAAUUCCACGUGUAGCAGUGAAAUGCGUAGAGAUGUGGAGGAAUACCGAUGGCGAAGGCAGCCCCCUGGGAUAACACUGACGCUCAUGCACGAAAGCGUGGGGAGCAAACAGG
rnacentral:rRNA from 1 species